CGCGUAUAGAACUUACCUUUUACAGGGGGAUAGCCUUUAGAAAUGAAGAUUAAUAUCCCAUAGUAUUGAGAAUUGGCAUCAGUUUUUAAUUAAAGAUUUAUCGGUAAAAGAUGGCUAUGCGUCCUAUUAGCUAGAUGGUAAGGUAACGGCUUACCAUGGCUACGAUAGGUAGGGGCCCUGAGAGGGGGAUCCCCCACACUGGUACUGAGACACGGACCAGACUCCUACGGGAGGCAGCAGUGAGGAAUAUUGGGCAAUGGAGGAAACUCUGACCCAGCCAUGCCGCGUGCAGGAAGACUG
rnacentral:rRNA from 1 species